AUUGAACGCUGGCGGCAUGCCUUACACAUGCAAGUCGAACGGUAACAGGUCUUCGGAUGCUGACGAGUGGCGAACGGGUGAGUAAUACAUCGGAACGUGCCUAGUAGUGGGGGAUAACUACUCGAAAGAGUGGCUAAUACCGCCUGAGAUCUACGGAUGAAAGCAGGGGAUCGCAAAACCUUGUGCUACUAGAGCGGCGGAUGGCAGAUUAGGUAGUUGGUGGGAUAAAAGCUUACCAAGCCUACGAUCUGUAGCUGGUCUGAGAGGACGAUCAGCCACACUGGGACUGAGACACGGCCCAGACCCCUACGGGAGGCAGCAGUGGGGAAUUUUGGACAAUGGGCGCAAGCCUGAUCCAGCAAUGCCGCGUGCAGGAUGAAGGCCUUCGGGUUGUAAACUGCUUUUGUACGGAACGAAAAGCCCCGGGUUAAUACCCUGGGGUCAUGACGGUACCGUAAGAAUAAGCACCGGCUAACUACGUGCCAGCCGCCGCCGUAA
rnacentral:rRNA from 1 species